rnacentral:tRNA from 1 species
GGAUGUAGCUCAGUGGUAAAGCACUUGUCUAGCAUGAGCAAGGCCCUGGGUUCAAUCCCCAGUACUG